GCUCCUGGGCCAGCGGUGAGGCUGCCGGGGCACCCCGCGCUCCCUGACACCGUCACUGGGGGUUGUCGCCGGCAGGGAAGGGCUGGCAGGGGCCGGGGGCACGUGUCCCCUUUUCCUGGAUGUUUGGAGCCGCCUUUGCCUGUGCUGUCCCCAGCCCAAGUGACCCUGCACUCACCCGAGCUUCUAAAUCUCCUCCAUUUCUCUUCCCUGCCGCUCUGUCCCACAGAAGAGGAGUCGACCGAGCAGACAUCGCAGGUGAGGGGCUGGUGUCCAUCCCUGAGGGUCCCCUGGCUCAGGAAGGAGGGAGGGCACUGUGAGUGUCACCUCUCCUCUGCUCUGGGGUGCCCACAGGCGUCUUCGCCCAGCCAGUCGUCCGUCAGGGAGAAGAACAGCACCCCGAGGAAGAGGAAGGCCCCUCUGCCUCCCCUGGGCACCUCCAGCCAGGAGGACCGGGAUGCCUACGAGGAGAUCGUGCGGCUGCGGCAGGAGAGGGCCCAGUUCCUGCAGAAGAUCCGGGGCUUGGAGCAGCAGGAGAAGCAGAGACGGGAGCGGGCGGAGCUGGAUGAGAGCUCCCUGCGCUCCAUGGAGAAGCAGAUCCGGGAGCUGGAGGAGCAGCUGGUGGCACGGGAUGGGGAGAAGAACAAGCUGGGCAAGGAGGUGGAGGCUCUGCGGAGCCGCCUAUCCUCGAUGGAGAAUGAGAAGGAGAACACGAGCUAUGACAUCGAGACGCUGCAAGACGAGGAGGGGGUCCCACUCGAGUUCCCAGGUAGAUCUUGCCAGCCUCCCAAGGACACCUUGGGGAGGUGGCACUGGGCAGUGGGGGCACAGUGGGCACAGCCCCAGGUCUCUGUGCCCUGCAGGAGCGGAGAUGUUGCUCUCCAAGAAGACACUGAGCCCCUCGGCCGAGGAGCUGCUGGCCACACUCCAGGGGCAGGUGCAGUCCCUGACCGUGCAGAACAAGGAGCUGAGGGAGAAAAUCCAGGCACGUCCCCCUCUGUCCCUCCGUCUGUCCCUCUGUUCCUUGUCCCCUGGCCCACAGCGGCCUCACGGUCUGUCGGCAGGUGCUGGAGAACUACGAGCGGGACGAGAGCAGCCCCGCUGCCCCGGGGGACGUGGUGCCCGCCAGUCUGUACCAGGCCCUGCAGCGGGAGCUGGAGCGGCUGCGGGCGCAGGGCAGGG
rnacentral:lncRNA from 1 species